UAUGAUUAAGUAUAUGAUGUACUUUAAUUUUUGAUAUUAAAAGGGUUAGUUUAAUUCUAUCAAUCAUAA
rnacentral:tRNA from 2 species